GAGAAACUUAAAUUAUACGUGCAGGAGGCACUCCGCAAGGACGUGGCUUAUCACCGUCGUUCAGGGCUGCCAUCAUCCUGGUCGGCAUUUUACAAGUACAUGGCUGAGAGCAAUCAGUCGGCAUUUUACAAGUACCUGGCUGAGAGCAAUCGUUCAGGAAUGUCGACAUCCUCGGCAGCGGAAAACUAAAGGAGUUGAGUGAGCUCUGCUCGAUUGGUUUUUGUAGUUUCUUUUUUUUUUUUCCUCAAGUGAUCUGGCAUGUAUCAAUUAGUUUGUAAAGUUAUUGUAUUGUCUCAAGUCCGGUAAGAUGCGCGAACGUAUAGCAUGGAUCACAAACUCAUUUCAUAGAUUAUUUUUUUGUAUAAUUAUAUAAUUUAUAGGCUUUGCUUAAAAAAUUAAAAAAGAAAAAAAGAAUUGUAUUACAAUUGGUAUGAGGCAUGCUUGUGUGUGUCAUAUCAGUUGCUGAACAAACUUUGCCUUUUAGUUUUGUAGGCACUACCAUCUCAAAUUCUUUGUUAUCAUGAAUGAGUAUUUUUUUUCUUUUUUUUCUUUUUUAACAAAUCAUAAAUGAGAUUAAGAUAAUCUUUUUUUAAAAAAGAAAAAAAAUGGAGAUUUCUUUUAUUUUUCCUUAAAAAACUGAAGACAAAUUUAGAAGGAAGUGAGAGACGGAGAAUUAAAGCAAUUUUAUUCACAAAUGUAAUGUAUUUGGUGCAGCAAUACAAACUAAUAAAUUAUAAUUUAUGAGACUAGUUUACAGAAUCUUAUAUAUAAAAUUAUAUCCUCUGAAUAAAAAUCUUCUCACCUCUUUUGACUUCUCAUCUAAUUUACAGAAUCUUAUAUAUAUAACACAUUUUUAUAAAACAAAACAGAAAAAAAAAUUAUAUAUAAUUGUCACAAGGACUAUUUCAUUUGCACAUAGUACGCAAUUGGUCACUAAAGUUAUUUGAGGAGAAAAUUUACAUGAGAUGGGUACAUCAUAUUAUCAGUAUUUUAGUUUAAAUUUGAACAUACUAGAAUGGUCUCUCAUAAAUUUUUCUCCAAUUUGAGAGAUGGUGGGGGAGUGGGGUUAAAGUGCAUCUACAUAGAAUAGAAUUAAUUAUAAUUAAAUUUACUUUUUAAAACUAUUUUAACUAGAAGUAGUAGUAAUUCUUUUUAUUAUUGUUAUUCCAAUUAUAUCAAAAUCUCGUGACUCGUGAUCAAAUUAAGUGCUUCAUUAAAUUGUUUUAGGUGACGUACGGUAUGGAGUUGUUAUAAAUCUAUAUAGAUAGUAAAAUAUUUAAUUUUGCUUGUCGUAAACUUUUAAUUUGCAUGGGUUAAAAAAGAAAAAAAGAAAAAAGAAAUUGACUUAUUAAUUAAUUAACAAUUAUAGAAAGACUAAAUAGAAAAUUAUUGAAGUUGCGUGAGAAAGCUCUCGGGAAAAGGGGCUCCAGAUUUCCUUUCCCUGGCUUCGUGCGUUUCCUGUUUGCCCUUUCGAGCACGACAUUCGAAUCCAAUACUUAAUAAUAAAGAUAUAAUAUUAUUAUAAUACUAAUAAUUAACAUUAAAAUAUUAAAAAUAGGGAAAAAAAAAUCCAAAUUUUUACUGGUAUGUAACGCAGGGCCAAAACGAUAGCGAAACAUCAAAUUGUUUUUAUUUCAACCUUCGCGCAACUUCCGGUGACAUAAUUUUUCUCUGUUUCAGGUACAUACAUACCCAAAACUAGACUUUGCAUGUAUCAUUCUUGUAUUUUUGUAAUUCAUUCACAUAUUCUUCUUUUCUUUUCUUUUUCUUUUCUUUUUUGCUGUAUUUUUUUUAUGAAACACUCUGUUUCAGUUCUGUUUCUGGUUUUGUUUCAGUUUGAUAUUAUUGGUUCCGUUCGGUUCUACUCUGUUCUCUGUUGUAUGUAUAUAUGUAUGUAUUUUUGGCCUUGAAUUGCUUUGAUCACCGGUUUUGUUAUUCUUUUAUCGUGAAUUUUAGACACCCGUUAAACUUGUUUGGCCAUGUAUUCACUUGAUUGUUACAUUCAGCUGCCAUCUUCAUGGUGGGUUUGUAAGAUAGUCUCUGACUAACAUAUGGCAUUGAUUAUGAAUGAUGGUUUUGUGAGAUACAUCAUACAGACGUUAACUUGUAUUAACAUGUACUUCCUUUAUUUAAAAGAUUAUUGUUUUUCUGGCUUUUUUUUUUUUGUUUGAAAUGCCCCUUUUUGCAUUUUAUAGGUGAAAGGAAAAAAACAUAAUAUCGCAGCACUAGAACAAAGGAGCCUAUUCUGGUACCUAUUGUCCAAGGAAGCUUCUGUAUAUUCGGUAGGCACUACCAUGGAAGUGAAAUCUUACCAGAGCCAGGUGGAGUCAUUGCUGAAGGAAUAUAUAUUAGCAGAUCCAUUUAUCCCGUACACUUCAAUUGUUGGUAGCAUUUUUGCUUGCAAGAUGGUAUGUUUUUCAUCGUUACUGCAUGGUGGUAUUUACUAGAAAAUAUUUUGAAUGCAUAGUUUUUAUUUAAUUAGUUAUAAAUUUUUAUACCCUUUUUUUCAUAAGAAUGCGUUCCUUUUCAGGUGUAUGAUCUUGCCCAAUUGAUUAGUGCUGUUCACUUUAAAAGUUAUUCCAGUUUCUCUAACGUACAGCGGGUUGAGUGGAGUAACAGGUGAUUGAAUAUUUUCAUUUAGUUCAAUUGACAUUUCUUUUUCAAUCGGUAAAGUUUAAUCAUUUCUCUUAAAUUGACAACUUAAGCAGGGCCAUAGCAACCGUCCAUGCCAUUUUUAUUACAGCUAUGUCUUUGUACUUCGUGUUUUGGUCGGAUCUCUUUUCGGACAACCAACUUGCUAGCCUUAUUACAUUCCGUAGCUCUUUUCUGUCUACAUUCACAUUGGGGGUGAGUUCACCAUUUCCUGUUAGUUUUUAGUUAAAUUACAAAUUUUACCAGGUUUUAAGUUCUGGCAUUCCCAUCUGUUAUCUUGCCCUGAGAAUAUAUAUAGGAUAUUGUCUUAUUGAAGCCUGAAUCUUCCCAGUAGUGGAAAGUAUAAAUAACAAUUUGAAAUUAUUUUAGCCAUCAAUGUAACAGCUGGCAAAUUUCUUCUAGCUUGUUUCUUAAAUCUAAGGUUAAUUUUCCCGUGGUGACAGACAAACCAGUCAUGGUUUAUCUAGAUAUUUUAAUACAUGAUUUCAGUAUCAGGUAAAGAAGGAAUCCGUAUCUAUUUCUUUCCAGUUGGUGUUGAUAAAAAGGAAAAGUCAUAGUACUCUCCUUUUCAUUCCUUGUGAUUCCAUUUUACUUAGUAAUAUGAUUAGAAAUGAGUGGAAAUAGGUUGUGGAGGGCUGCAUUAUUAUGGCUUCUUUCAAUAGAACACUAAAUAUUCCCUAUUCAAGGGAAACUUUUUGCAAGGGAAAUUUUCUAAAGGAUAAUAAACUUUUUUUCUUUUCAAAAGAGAAAGGGUAAUUAUUAGUACAUUGAUAUCUCAACAAAAUGGUAGAACCUUUCUUUAUACCACUAAGACAUUUGUCGCAGGUAUGCCUACAUAAUCAGUGUCCUUCAAAACUUUCAAGGAGUUAGCAAUGCCGAACCCCUGAAACACUAAGGUGGCGUUUGUUUUUUAACUUAAUGACUUAAAGUGAAUUAACUUAAUUAAUUAAGUUAAUUAGAGGUGUUUGUUUUUAUAACUUAAUGAGACUUUUUAGAUGAUUUUGACUUAAGAAAAUAAGCCAAUUUUUUUAGCUUUUUACUUAAUGGAGAAAUCUGAAUUAAGUCAAUUACUUGCUAAUGUCAAAACUAUCCAUGUUUUAUAAUUUAUUUUUCAUGUCUAUCCCAAAAUUCACCCAUAGACAUUUAUCCCACAUAAAAAUAUCCAUAUUUUUUAUUUCUUAUAUUAUAUACGAUAAAAUUUAAAAUUUAUGGUAUUUUAUAUAUUAAAAUUUCAAAAUAAUUAUGUAUUCACUUGAAUAUAGUUUUACUUAUAAAUGUUAAAAUAUUGUGGUAUUUAAUAUAUUAUUUAUUUGGCAUUCAAAUUUAAUAAGGAUACAAAUGUAAAAGUACAUAUUUUCAACUUUUUAAGUUGAAAAAAACAAACAACUUAAUACUUAUUUUCCGAGAUUCAGACGAAAAAAACAAACAUAUUAUUCAGAUUCAGACAUUCAGAUCUAUUAAAAAUUCAGUCUAAUUUAAGUCUAUUUAGAUUUUAGAUAAAAAAACAAACGCCACCUAAAUCUCAUAGGAUCAACUCUUUACCUCUAGACCGAAGGUGUGACACCCAGACCCAAUUAGGGCUUAGAAAACAUAUCGAAUCUGAGUGAAACUAAAUGCCUGUAAAUCCAAAUCUCCAAAAUAUCAAAAAGUCAUCUAAUUUCUCUUUUCAUGUAUUUCACAAAAUUUUGAAAAAUUCAUUCUCAAUCAUAAACUAUGCACAACUAAUUAUUCAGCAUAUCAGCAUAGAGCAAUACUUCCUCAUAAGCAAAUAAAUCUUACAAUCCUUCUUCCAUGAUUUAAAAAAAAUACUAAUAGAAGUCUUCUAGAUACAAACAUAAACAUAAUUCAACUGUUUAAAACUAUGCCAAAACACAAGCUUCAAUCAGUAAUACAUACGACUAAUUAUUAAAAACAUCUAGGCAGAAACCUUACGAAAGCUCAAUCCUUCCGAAGCAUUCUUCAAAUUAAUAAUUGCAACCAUCUGUGAAAAAUAAUUGACAAGGAGUCAGCUGUGAAUUCAAUCAGUAGAAACAUUCGUAACGAACAAAAAGAAUUCUUUGUGCAAUAUUUUCAGAAAAUUCAUUUAACCUUUCAAAUGAAACAGAGUAAUUUUUCUAACGCAUCAGGAUUUAUAUAAAACACAAACGUUUCAGACAGAAGCUGUGUGGAAUGUAAAUUUUGCUUCUUUAAACAGAAAGUUAUAUAUUAGUUUGAUUUUAAAGGGAGGUUAUUGGGAAGUUAAAAUUGGCAGUUGUGGGAAAAGGGUAAUAGCAGUUAUAAAAUCUGUUUUAAAGCAAAUUCAAAUCAAGUUUCAAAUUUUAGGAGUACUUAAUUCAAUAAAAUAAGGAAUAAAUAAAGCUUUCAUUGAAACAAAACUAAGUAAAUUCAUUUAAAGCAAAACAGGAUGCGAGCAUUACAUAAGGGUUCUUGGCCAUACCAUGGUUACCCGCAGUCAGACAUCUGGGACCUUGUUAUUUGGAGACAAGACUUGAUUGUGCCAUGUUUUCCGCAGCUAGACACCUAUGGAUAAGAGAAGCCUAAGCCUAUUGAGAAUAAAUUCUGUAAUCCAAGACUCUUCAGUUCUUUCAUUUGUGGCUAAUUAGUUAUAAAAUUUGUGAAUUACAUGCCCCAUGCCCCUUGCAAAAUGUUGUUUAUAUCCUUAAGAUGCCCGUGGAUGAACUGAAAUAAUAAAAUAUAGAAGACAGACUUAAUGCCGAUAGCAUUUCUUAAGAAAAACUUGGGAUGUUUAUAAUUUUCUUAGAGCAUUUGCUGAACUUUCUGUGAUUGCAGUCGAGACGGGUGACCGCUACUUCCCUCAUUGCUCACAAGUGGUUAAUGACUUUUUGGAUGCUUCCCUCCUAGAAAAGAGUACUCUUGAAGAGCAGAAACUUAAAGUAGACAUGCAAGAGGCACUCCCCAAGGACGUGGCUUAUCACCGUCGUUCAGGGCUGCCAUCAUCCUGGUCGGCAUUUUACAAGUACAUGGCUGAGAGCAAUCAGUCGGCAUUUUACAAGUACCUGGCUGAGAGCAAUCGUUCAGGAAGAUAUUUGACAUUUGGAAAACUAAAGGAGUUGAGUGAGCUCGAUUGGUAUUUGUAGUUUCUUUUUUUUUUUUUUGCCUCAAGUGAUCUGGCAUGUAUCAAUUAGUUUGUAAAGUUAUUGUAUUGUCUCAAGUCCGGUGAGAUGCGCGAACGUAUAGCAUGGAUCACAAACUCAUUUCAUAGAAUAUUUUUGUGUAUAAUUAUAUAAUUUAUAGGCUAUGCUUAAAAAAUUAGAAAAAGGGAAUUGUAUUGCAGUUGGUAUGAGGCAUGCAUGCGUAUGUCAUAUCAGUUGCUGAACAAACUUUGCCUUUUAAUUUUGUAGGCAUUACUAUCUCAAAUUUUCUAUUAUCAUAAAUGAGUUUUUUUUUUUUUUAACAAAUCAUAAACGAGAUUAAGAUAAUCUUUUUUAAAAAAAAAAGAAGACAAAUUUAGAAAGUAGUGAGAGAUGGAGAAAUAAAGUAAUUAUAUUCAUAAAUAUAAUGUUUUUGGUGCAGCGACACAAACUAAUAAAUUAUAGUUUAUGAGAUUAGUUUACAAAAUCUUACACUCUCUAGACUUCUCAUUUAGGUGCCUUUUCUGGAACCUCUCCAGCCAUAAACACAUUUUUAUUAAACAAAACAGAAAAAAAAAAUUAUAUAUAGCUGUUCAUAAGGACUAUUUCUUUUGUACAGAAUACACAAUUGGCCACUAAAAUUAGUUGAGGAGAAAAUUUACACGAGAUGAGUACAUUACAUUAUCAGUAUUUUUGUCUAAUUUGAACGCACGUUUGUUUUAGGAAUCUUACUAGAAUGGUCUCUCAUAAAUUUUUCUCCAAUUUGAGAGAGAGUGGGGACUAGGUUAAAGUGCAUAUACGUAGAAUUAAUUAAAAUUAAAUUUAUUUUUUAAAACUAUUUUAACUAGAAGUAGUAGCAAUUCUUUUUAUUAUUGUUAUUCCAAUUAUAUCAAAAUCUCGUGACUCGUGAUCAAAUUAAGUAGUUCAUUAAAUUUUUUUAGGUGACGUACGGUAUGGAGUUUUUAUAAAGCUAUAUAAAUAGCAAAAUAUUUAAUUUUGUUUGUCGUAAACUUUUAAUUUGCCUGGGUUAAAAAAAAGAAAAAAAAAUGAAAAAAGAAAUUGACUUAUGAAUUAAUUAACAAUUAUAGAAAGAAUAAAUAGAAAACUAUAGUUGCGUGAGAAAACUCUCGCGAAAAGGGGCUCCAGAUUUCCUUUCCCUGGCUUCGUGCGUUUCCUGUUUGCCCUUUCGAGCACGAAUUCGAAUCCAAUACUUAAUAAUAAGGAUAUAAUAUUAUUAUAAUACUAAUAAUUAACAUUAAAAUAUUAAAAAUAAGGAAAAAAAAUCCAAAUUUUUAGUGGUAUAUAAGAUAACGCAGGGCCAAAGCGAUAGCGAAACAUCAAAUUGUUUUUAUUUCAACCUUCGCGCAACUUCCGGUGACAUAAUUUUUCUCUGUUUCAGGUACAUACAUACCCAAAACUAAACUUUGCAUGUAUCAAUCUUGUAUUUUUGUUAUUCAUUCACACAUCCUUCUUUUCUUUCUUUUCUCUUUUGCUGUAAUUUUUUAUGAAACACUCUUCUGUUUCAGUUCUGUUUCUGGUUUUGUUUCAGUUUAAUAUUAUUGGUUCCGUUCGGGUCUGUUCUGCUCUGUUCUCUGUUGUAUGUAUAUGUGUAUAUGUUUUUGGCCUCGAAUUGCUUUGAUCACCGGUUUUGUUAUUCAUUUAUCGUGAAUUUUAGAUACCCGUUAAACUUGUUUGGCCAUGUAUUCACUUGAUUGUUACAUUCAGCUGCCAUUUUCAUGGUGGGUUUGUAAGAUAGUCUCUGACUAGCAUACGGCAUUGAUUAUGAAUGAUGGUUUUGUGAGAUACAUCAUACAGACGUUAACUUGUAUUAACAUUGUUGUGCGCGGAAUGCGGAAUCAAGCGCACCAAAUAAUUAUAGAAAAAUAAAAGACACAAGAAUUACAUGGUUCAGUAAUUAAACCUACAUCCACGGAGGCAAGAAAGAAUAAUUGUAUUAUUAACAAUUAAUAGAGUAUAAAUAUUUGAGUAACGAAUCUCACUUCCCAGAAACUCAAAUAUACCCAGUACUCUCACACUCUGCAGGAAAGAUAAAUUCCCCAGACACACUUCUCUCACUUCUCUCACUUCUCUCAAAAGCUUAAAAACUUAUAAGCUUAACAAUUUUGGGAUGAUAUGGAAUGAAGAAAUGUUCUCUAUUUAUAGGCUUGAAGCUAGUACUAUUCCACCUAACCCAAUCACUAUUCCACCUAACCCAUGCAAAUAUGUCAAUGGUGUCCAUUUGGCAAAUUUGACAAAUUUGCCAACUUUUCAUUUUUUCUUCAAUUGUUUGGUAGCUCUUUGAAAAAUUGCAUGCUUUCUUGAAUUUGCAUGCCACGUGCAUGAUUUUUCAACAAUUCUCCACCUCGGCGAAAAUUUGUCCAAAUCUAAGCCGACUACCAAUGAACCAUCAUCCCUAAGGUGGCUGCAUCUCUGUGACUGCUUACGUACCCAAAAUUUGGGAUCAAGCCAACUGUAGUUCAAAAUUCCCGAAGGACAUAUCUUAACACAAGCGAAGGAUUUGAAUUAGUUUCAAGCAAUGUUGAAACUUAACUCCAGAAACUACCUUCGUCAACAUAUCUUAUGGAUUAUCUUUUGUAUCGAUCUUCUUCAACAACACAUCACCACCUUCGAUAAUCUCCCUCACAUAAUGAUAUUUCACAUCUAUGUGCUUCGUCCGAGCGUGAUAUGUUUGAUUCUUCGCUAGGAAUAUCGCACUUUGGUUAUCACAAAAGACCACAAUGUUUUCUUGGAUUACUCUCAAAUCACCUAACAAGCCUUUCAACCAGAUAGCUUCUUUUACAGCUUCAGUUGCUGCCAUAUACUCUGCUUCCGUAGUGGACAAAGCAAUUGUCGAUUGUAGAAUCGACCUCCAGCUAAUCGAUCCUCCACCCAAUGUGAAUACGUAGCCCAUUGUUGAUCUUCGCUUGUCAAGGUCUCCAGCGAAAUCAGAAUCACAAUACCCAACACAUUGUUGACCACAAUCCUUCUUGAACAAUAACCCAACAUCAAUUGUCCCAUACAGAUAUUGGAGAAUCCACUUUACCGCAAGCCAGUGAUUUUUACCCGGAUUGUGCAUGUAUCUACUAACCAUGCUCACUGCUUGAGAUAUAUCGGGCCUUGUGCAUACCAUAGCAUACAUAAGACUACCCACAACACUAGCAUAUGGAACACGAGCCAUGUAAUCGCACUCCUCUUGAGAUCUAGGACAUGAAGAAGAGCUUAAUUUGAAAUGAGGAGCUAGAGGUGUACAUACCGGUUUAGUUUUGUCAUCCAUACCAAAUCUUUCUAGCACUUUCUUCAAAUAAGACUUUUGAGUCAACCAUACGCUCCCAUUCUUCUUGUCUCUACGAAUCUCCAUCCCAAGUAUUCUCUGUGCAUCACUCAAGUCUUUCAUCUCGAACUCAGAAGCCAACUGCUUUUUUAAUCUUUUGAUCUCAUCUCCAUUCUUUGAAGCUAUAAGCAUAUCGUCGACAUAGAGUAACAAAUAGAUGAAAGCUCCAUCUAGUAGUUUUCUAAAGUAAACACAAUGAUCGUGUUCACUUCUAGUGAAUUCUGCCCUUGUAUAAAUUGAUCAAAUCUUUUGUACCACUGCCUUGGCGAUUGCUUCAGUCCGUACAAAGAUUUAAUCAACCUACAUACAUGAUUCUCCUUUCCAGCAACUCUGAAACCACAAGGCUGAAUCAUAUACAUUUCUUCCUCCAAAUCUCCAUAUAAGAACACCGUCUUAACAUCCAAUUGAGCCAACUCUAACUCAUAUUCUGCAACUAAGGCAAGUAGGAUACGAAUGGAAGUAUGUUUUACAACUGAAGAGAAAACUUCAUUGUAGUCAAUAUCUUCCUUCUGAGCAAAACAUUUUGCCACGAGCUUUGCCUUGUAUCGAGGAGUUGAUUGAUUUAGAGAUCCUUGUUUUUUGGUGUAGACCUAUUUAUUACCAAUAACCUUUUUCCCCUUUGGUAACUUUACAAGUUCCCAAGUCUGGUUUUGAUGGAGAGAUUUCAUCUCUUCCUCCAUGGCUAACUUCCACUGAUCACUUGCACUGAUGCGUAAUGCUUCACCGAAAGUGUUGGGGAUGUCAUCAUCAAUAACUGGAAGUGCAUAGGCUACCACCAUAUCUUUAGUAACCUAUCCGAAUUUCUUUAUCUCUCUUCUUGGCCUCCUUGUUGCUAUAAAAUCAUCAUUAUCUACAUCAUCAAUUGUUUCUUCAUUUUGUGGGACAUCAGAAGAAACAACCUCUUCUUCAACUCUAGGUGUCACCUCCAUAAUUGAACUGAAACAACCCGCCCCGAACCCCCAGGGCGAGUCUAUCUAAACUCGUAUAAUCAAAUCGAUAUUAUUUAUGAUAUCUAAGAAUUCUAUUAAAAAUUCGGCAGAAUCUCCCUUAUAAAUAAAACAUCCCCAAACCUGCAAUUUACAAAACCAUACUCCCAAAAAUAAUUCAAUAUCCAUCCAACUCUCAUAACCAACUUCUCAAGUUAACAUAUCAAAUUUCAUCAAAAUCAUUCUAAUAUUAAAAUACAUGGGUUAUCCUUAAUUACAAAAUAUAAUAAAUCAAAAUUGUUAAAUCUACGACUCUUAGCACCAUCACGUGGCCACAAUUUCAAAACUAACAUUCGUUACUGGGUCAACUGAUGUACCUGCAAAUCUCCUGUGGGGGGAAAAAUAUAAUAAAAACGGGGUGAGUAUAAAACUCAGUGAGCUCAGUGAUUGGAUAAUAGUUUUUGGAAAAAUAAAUAAAUUUAUUUAAAAUGACUUAAUCUUUCCCAAAUCAAUUUCUCAAAUCAAUUUCAUCAAAAUAUCAUAAGAACUUACAUAAACUUAUUUAAUUCAAAUCAAUCACUGAAAUUCUAUAUUACAUAAAUCUACAUAGAAUCGAUGGAAUCAUAAUACUUAUCAUAUCAAAUACUGAAUACCAAAAACUAUCAUCAAACAAGUACCCAGAGGAAUGAUCUCAUCAUAUCCGGACCUCGACGGACGGGCAAUCAGGGAACCAUCAUGCCCCGGAGCUACAACAGAUAGAUGGGGAAAAUCUCAUCUCAUAUCUCAUGUAUCUCAACAUCUGUAUCUUUGUAAUCAUCAUACUGCAUGCAUAAGCCCCCAAAAGGCAAAAGCGCCCAAACACACGGUCCAAAGCCUCUAUGUGUGUUCAGACGGGCCCCAAAGGCGUCUAUCUCAUCUCAUCUGUAUCUCUGUAUUCAUCUCAUAUUAUCUGUAUCUCUGUAUCUAGAGGGGAAGGGUACUGUCCAAUGAUUUUCCAAACAACAUUUAUACUCAUGUACAUAAACAUAUAAUCACAUCUGAAAUCUCAUUUUCUUUCUAUGCAACAUAUCUCAAAUCUGCUCAAUUCUAAUAUCAUGCAUAAAAUCACUAAUCAAACUCAUUCUUAGUAACAAUAAAUAUCAACACAUAGAUAAAAAUCAAUUUUCUAGAAAAUCAUUAAAUCGAAGCAUCAAAUACUUAUUUAUCAAAACAUAAUGCACUGUAUCAUAAAAUCAGCAUAUACUAUGAAAAUAGAUUUUGCAUAUUCCACUCACAGUGAUGAUGUCCAGACUCGGUAUCAACAACGUUUGCGGUUUGAUUCUCGUUCGCAGAUCCUCCUAAUCAAGGAAACGCCAUAAUCAUUCUCCGUAAACUUGAAAUACAACUAAUUUUAUAUAAUAAAUCUGGAAACGAAUAUCUAUCAAAUACCCCCAACAUCAUUAUUUUACCAAAUUAUCCUCAGAAUCUUCAAUUACUAAAUGGUCCUCAAUUUAGAUCACAUAAAUAACCACAAUGUCAGAAAUUACGAAAUUACCCUCGGAGCAUAAAUUUACCAAAAUGUCCUUAACGACUUAAAUUACCGAAUUACCCUCGAAAUCUCAAAUUACCUCACUGCCCUAACUUAAAAUUACCAAAUUAUCCACUGAUUCCAUAAAUUAUAAAUUCACCCUAAAGUUUUAUGAAUUUACCGAAUUGCCCCUGCCGGUAAACGGUGACCGGACUUCAGUCAACGACGACGGGAAGCUUAGGUCUGAUAGUUUAGACCUCGGUGAGUCCAAUGGUGGUGGCCGUGAGUCCCCACGAGCGGUGCCGGCGGCGGAUCAAGCUUCCUAGGCCGUGAGCUUUCAAAGUGGCUGAUCGGCGGUAAUCCGGCCGUUUCGGGUGACGAGGUUGGUCGGAAAAUGAUGCUGGUAACGUGAGGAGUAGAAACCAACUGGAAGUGUGCCCAAACUCUGGCAAAAUCGACGGCGGCGAAAACGGGCCUUGGCCGCGAGUUUUCGAGCUUAAUCGCCAGCGUUUUGGUCGGUUUCCGGUGACGAGGACGGCGGGGUUAUGACGGUCGGCUUCCAAGCUUCAGAUCGGUACCAAGCUCGGCCGGUGAGGUGGCCAGAAUCGGGAGAUCCGUCCGGGUCAAUGUCGCGAGUCGGGUCGGGUUUGCGGGUCAAAAAUCGGGUCAAACACUCACUCUCUCUCUCUCUCGUGCCUCCUCUCUCUCCUUCCUUUCUAAAAAUAGUUUCCCCCCCUUUCCAUAUAAAAAAAAAACCGACUUCUUCUUCCUUUUUUUUUUCUUAAGCUUAAUACAAAUUAAACUAAUACCGGACCCGUGACGAAAAUAAAAUCCAACUAUUCGAACUUUUAAUCGCACUCAAAUUAUCUCGAUUUAAUGUCGUGACAAAUUUUAAAAUUAAUAACGAAGAGGAAAAAUUAAAUCAUACACUUAAUUAAGAAAAAUCAAAGUGCAUAUGUUACAUGAACCCUUAUUUAAUGUAGAACUAACUGGUACAUAUGGAGUUGCAUCAAACUCCACCCACUGUAAUACCUCUUUGGUCUUAUUCUCCACCUGUUGAGAAUUUGAAGCUUUCAUCAUUGAAGCUUCAUCAAAUGUGACAUCUCUUUUACACACAAACUUUUUGUCUUCGAGAUCCCAAAGCUUAAAGCUCUUUACUCCACCUUUGAAUCCUACAAAGAUAGCUUUACUAGCACGAGGAUCCACUUUACCAUCUUUGACAUGAUAAUAAGCUGAACACUCGAAUAUACGAAGGGAAUCAUAGUCUUGUGCAUGCUUUCCAGACCACAUUUUCAUAGGAGUUUUACCUCCAAUUGUAGCAGAAGGCAACCGGUUUACCAAGUGACUUGCGUAACUCACAGCUUCAACCCAAAACUUUUUAUCUAAACCAGCAUUAGAUAACAUACACCGUACUUUCUCCAGUAAAGUACGAUUCAUACGCUCAGCCACACCGUUCUGUUGCGGAGUAUGUCUCACCGUGAAAUAUCUUUUAAUACCCUCGUUCUGGCAUACUUGCAAGAAUGGAUCAGAAGUAUAUUCACCCCUAUUAUCAGAUCGUAAUACUUUGAUCUUUCUGCCAGUUUGAGUCUCCACCAAUUUCUUCCAUUUCACGAAAAUCUCUAGAACUUCAUCCUUUGCUCGCAUGGUGUACACCCACACACGUCUAGAGAAAUCAUCAACAAAUGUAACAAAAUAAUGGCUUCCACCAAUUGAUGCAGUCUUGGUUGGUCCCCAUACAUCACUAUGAACAUAUUCAAGGAUCUCACGAGUAUCGUGAUUAACUGUACCAAACUUGACCCUUGUUUUCUUGCCUACUACACAAUGCUCACAGAAAUUUAAUUUACAGGUUUUGGUACCUUUUAAGAGUCAGUGCCUCAUCAGAGUUUGCAAAGAUUUCUCGCCAGCAUCUCCCGAUCGUAAAUGCCAUAGCUUGGUGGUGUCACUGUGCGCCUCAACAAUAUUUGCUUCAUCAGUUGUACCUCCCUUUAUAUAGUACAAACUGUGACGUCGAACCCCUUGUAGACUCACCAUAGCCCCAUGUGUAAACUUCAUUGUGCCAUCUUCAAUGGUAACCUUGUAGCCUUUAGCUUCCAAAGCACCCACAUAAAUUAGAUUUUUCUUUAAAGCUGGAACAAAUCUAACCUCUUUGAGUUCUCUGACCAUUCCAUCAAACAUUUUGAGCCGAAUUGUUCCUAUCCCCAUUGUGCGACAAGGUUGAUCAUUCCCCAUCACAACUGCACCGGAUUCCAGAUCAUGAAAAUCCGUAAACCAUUCCUUAAUAGGACACAAAUGAUAGGUUGCUCCAAUAUCAAGUAUCCACUCGCUCGAACUAGCCACGUAUGCUGCAGGAGUAAUACUUAGUGAAUAAUCAAAGUCCUCAUCUUUCCGUGCCAUAUUUAUUGCUGCUGGUUUCUUCCCAUCUCUCUUUUGAGCCUUUGGACAAGCUUUCCUCCAAUGGCCCUUUUCAUGACAAAAGGCACACUCGUCUCGAGCUAUAUUUCUACUUCUCGAUUUGGAUCGAGAAUUCUUUCCACCACGCUUUUUCUUUUUCUCCAUCGCCCAAUCUCUGCUCACCAAAGCUUCAGACGAUGCUCGUUCAGAAUUUUUAUUAUUAUUCCGAAUCUCCAAGUUAGUCAAUGCUGUGCAAACAUCUUUGAAGAUGAUCACACUUUUCUCAUAUAUCAAGGUAGUCACAAAAUGGCUAUAUUCCUCUGGUAGUGAGUGUAACAGAAUCAUAGCCUUGACUUCAUCCUUAAUAUCUUCAUCAAGAUUCUUCAAAUCAGCAAGUAACUUUUCAAAUCUUGAGACAUGAUCGUAAAUUGACACCCCAUGCUUCAUUCGAAAGCCAUAUACUUGGCUCAUUGCAUGAAGGCGAUUUUUAGGACUUUUUAGCAAGUACUUCUCCUCCAAUGUACGCCACAAAGUCAUCGCACACUCCUCAUCCUUCACCAAGUAUUUCACCUCCUUAGUCAAACAAGAUCUGAUAUGACCACAUGCUUUUUUAUUCAUACAAUCCCAAAUUUCUUCAUCAUACAAGUGUCUUUUAUUUUUCAGAACAACAUCCAGAUCGAUUUGAAUAAGGGCGUCCAUAACUUCGCGCCUCCACAUGCCGAAGUUGAUUUUCCCAUCAAACUUUUCAACAUCGAUUUUCUGGCCUCCUAUAACAGGCGUUGAAUAGCGAUUUGACAAAUCUCGCCUCCCACCUGAAGUGUCUCCUGAAAUAGUCUCGGUAGAUCUCUCCCCAAUUCUGGAAGUUUCACCUUCUACCAUUUUCUCAACGAACUAUUUCCACUUGAAAAACAGUCUCUAUGAUGUUAAUUUCGCGUGAAUAAAUGCACUAGGAAAGUUCCCAGGAGACUGGACGGGAACUCAGUCCUAAUUAAAAACCAGAAUCCUUAGACUCUUAUCGCCUUUGUUGACAGAACUUUUCUAGACAUGCAAAAAUACACACUACUUACAAUAGACUGUCUCCCAAGUACAAAUGGUCGUCUCCACCGUAUUCGUGAACAGUACCAUAUACGUGAAUAGUACCGUAUACGUAAACAAUACCGUAUCCCCCAAGUACGAACCGUCGGCUCUGAUACCACUUGUUCUACCCGGAAUGCGGAAUCAAGCACACCAAAUAAUUAUAGAAAAAUAAAGGACACAAGAAUUACGUGGUUCAGUAAUUAAACCUACAUCCACGGAGGCAAAAAAUAAUAAUUGUAUUAUUAAUAAUUAAUAUAGUACAAAUAUUUGAGUAACGAAUCUCACUUCCCAGAAACUCAAAUAUACCCAGUACUCUCACACUCUGCAGGAAAGAUAAAUUCCCCAGACAUACUUCUCUCACUUCUCUCAAAAGCUUAGAAACUUAUAAGCUUAACAAUUUUGGGAUGAUAUGGAAUGAAGAAAUGCUCUCUAUUUAUAGGCUUGAAGCUAGUACUAUUCCACCUAACCCAAGUACUAUUUCACCUAACCCAAGCACUAUUCCACCUAACCCAUGCAAAUAUGUCAAUGGUGUCCAUUUGGCAAAUUUGAGAAAUUUACCAACUUUUUAUUUUUUCUUCAAUUGUUUGGUAGCUCUUUGAAAAAUUGCAUGCUUUCUUGAAUUUGCAUGCCACGUGCAUGAUUUUUCAACAAACAUGUACUUCCUUCAUUUAAAAGAUUAGUGUUUCUCUCUCUCUCAAUUUUUUUAAGAAAAAAAAUGAAAUGCCCCUUUUCGCAUUUUCCAGUUUCUCCAACAUACAGCGGGUCGAUGUGGAGUAACAGAUGAUUGAAUAUUUUCAUUUUAGUUCAAUUGUCAUUUCUUUUUUAAUCGGUAAAGUUUAAUCAUUUCUCUUAAAUCGACAACUUAUGCAGGGCCAUAUCAACCGUCCAUGACAUUUUUAUUACAGCGAUGUCUUUGUACUUUGUGUUUUGGUCGGAUCUCAGAGUUUGUGCAUAGCACACUUGGUUCUACUGUUUGUUUGUCCCUUCACAGGCAUUUCGAUAAACUGUUAUUUUUGUUCUUUGGAAGUGAAUAUUUUCAGCAACUAGAACUCCGAAGCAUCUUGAAUGAUCCAUUUUAUGAUUCUCAAUACCUAUAAAAGAAUGUCAUAGAAAACAGUUUCCAAAGCAAGUUGCAUGUGUUUUGAAUUUGUCUUUGCAAGCCACUAGUUGCUUGGAGCACACUGUUAGCCUAUCGUGAUCCCAACCACUUUUUUGGAUAGACAAUUGUGCAUCCAUAUGAUCUGGACUAAACUAGUUUCUAAUAAAUAAUUGCCCAAGGAUUUAGUCUCAGUGUUACAGCCUAGUCUUUGUUGUCAAUACUCUUUCCCCUGUCGUGGAUGAGCGCCAUAACAGCUUCUUAAUGUUUUCCAGUGGCUUUUGCACGGUUGUUGUUUCCUUCUGAAGCUAGAGUAGCUACGGAUAGAGCGGAUGCAGAUGCCACCAAUUUUUAUGAUGGCCUUUCAGCAUCAAAAUCAAAAGGAUCAAGUGGGAACUUAAAGGAGGUUUAUUAGAAUGAAACACCCUCUAUGCAAGCCAAGAGACUCCAAUUAAGACUGCAAGCUCUGCUUAAAACAGGUAUUUAUCUCAACAAAAUGUUAGAACCUUUGCACCACUGGAGACAUUUUCUUCGAGCAUUUACCGGACUUUCUAUGAUUGCAGUGUAGACGGGUCGACGCUACUUCCCUCGUACUCGUUGCUCGGAAGUGGUUGAUAAGUUUCUGGAUUGUGAUUGGUCCGAUGCUUCCUUCCUCGAAAAGGGUACUCCUGAAGAGCAGAAACUCAAAAGGACACGCUUCAUGGAACUCAAAGAAGACGUGAAGAAGGCAUUUUACAAGGACAUGGCUGAGAAAAAUCGUUCAGGUUUGUCGUCAUCCACGUCAUCGUCAUCUUCUCCAAAGGAAGGAGUAAAGUGUAAGGGUAGGAAAAGGUGAUGCUUAGCUGCUUGUCUUUGUAUUCAUUUAUAGGAAACUAAGAGAGUUUUACUGAGUUUGAUUGUUACUUGUGGAGAGAUACUCUUAGAGCCUAUGUUAUGGCUAUGUUGUAAAAUAGCAGAGGAACUUCAAGCUUGCAUUGUUGUAUUUUCCCAGGUAUUUGGAAUGUAAUAUACUAAAUGACAGAAUUUUCUAAUUUUAGAGGGGAAAAAUAUGUCAGUGAAUUAUUUGUUUAUUUUAUCUGUUUAAAUCACUUUAUAAUAUAGCUUUUUUUUUCAAAAAAAAAAAAUCUCCAUAUCUUCAUCUGAAAACUCGAGUCAUGUGUAACUUCUUUCAGGGAGAAAAAGGGGGGAAAGAAAAGGCAUUUGUACCUGUAUUUUACAGUACUGACUCUCAUACAGAAAUUGGUUGAGAUGACAUUAAUGUUCUUCGAAAUAGAUGAAUAUGCAGAAUUUUCAUCGAAAUUGAAAUUAGAAAUGGAUGGAUAUGAAUUAUAUAUAUGUAGAACUUUUUAACAGAAUUUUUAUCUAAAAAUUUGUUGCUCAUUACCCUCCCGAAGAAAUAUAAAAUUUUCAAUUGUAGAUAUUAAAUUUUAAAUUUAUAAUAUAAUAAAUGUGACUUGAGGUGCACAUCACCCAUAUAAUAAUAAUUAAGAAAAGAAAAUACAAAAUUUGUAAAUUACCAAUUUUUUAAAUUUAAUUAAUUUUAUACCCAAAUUCUCAUGCUCAACGGCCGCUAGAAUUGGCUAUUGUAAUUUUGCCAUCCUCAUUAUUCACUGGCCAUUUUUGGACCACAACAUAAUAAAAAUAGCAUUGAUUAAUACUAAUAAAUUUCUUUUGAUUAUUUUGUUGUGUGAUGAUCUAGUGAGUACAAGUGUCCAUCAUAGCACCUGAACUGCUGAACAUGUGGUAACAUUCUGCGAUUCUCUAUAAAAUAGUAUUUAAAUUGUGUAUUAACUAGACAGUUCUAUAUAGACAAUUGUCCACUAAAUCAUUACUUUAUUUUGUAUAUAUUUAUGAUAAUUGUUGAAGAAAAAUGUAAAGUGAGAUUAAUGAACAUUAAUGAAUGUGGGAAAUUAACACAACUAGGAUUUAUGAUGAAAUAAUUUUAUGUCAAAUGAGUGAGUGAAUGGAUGUUAAAAAACUUGUAAUAUAUAUUUUUUGAAUUGUUAUAUAAACAAGUUCAUCACUAACAAUAAAUUGAAUUAUGAAUUGUUUAAUAAUUCAAAAUCUCAUUCACCCUUCAGUGUUUAUAGUAUUUUUUAGAAUACAAAAUUGUAAACAACCUCACCCUUAAAUGAUAUAAUGAUAAAAUAAUUUUAUGUCAAAUGAGUGUAAGUGAAUGGAUGUUAAAAAACUUGUAACAUAUAUUUUCUGAAUUGUUAUAUAUGCAAGUUUGUCACUAACAGGAAAUUGAAUUAUUAAUAUUUUAAUAAUUCAAAAUCUCAUUCAACCAUCGGUGUUUAUAAUUUUUUUGAGAGUACAAAAUUAUAAACAACCUCAUCUUUAAUAAUAUAAUGUUAAACCUUUUCAAAAAUUUAUUCCAUUAUAGUUGUCUUAGUCAGUUAUACUUAUUCCAAAUUGAAGAUAAAAAUAGUACUUCAUAUGUCAUACAUUACUUAAAGAAAUUUUUUUAUCAACUUAUGAGCUAGAGAAAGAAUGCAAUAAAUUACGUCUAAAAUUGUAAAAUUAAUCAAUCACUAAAUAAAUAUAAUGUUAUAUGUGUAUGUGUAUAUAUUACACAAACUCUGAAUCUCAUGAGCUAUCUUCGGAUGAUGUAUCAUACUCAAAAAUCUAUUUUUGCUAAUGAUUAUACUAACAUUUAAAGGUCUCUCUAAGCUACAUUGUAAUUCCAAUUCUUGUGGCUGCCUUCCAUUGCCAACUGAACCAGCUCCGCUCUCCCUGCAUCCAGAGAGUGGUAAGGUAAAAUCUUGAUAAUGUCUGUCUCGAGAAAGAGCUUCCUGAUGAAGUUUCAAGUGAAAUCAAAUCACUCCGUGUCAAAUCUAACCAGGAGUGUGAAGCGAAUAUAGCAGAAGUGGAUCCUAUGCAUGCAACAAGAGUCAGAGGAAUCCACGAGGCACUGGACUCUUAUGACUUUGAACUGUUGAAGCUUCUUCUGGAUGAAUCUAAUGUCACUUUGGAUGAUGCUUAUGCUCUGCACUAUGCUGCUGCCUACUGCAGCCCUAAGGUUUUUAAGGAAGUGCUCAAUAUGGACUCGGCUGGUCUCAAUCUUAAGGAUGCAAGAGGACAUACGGUGCUUCAUGUGGCUGCAAGGCGUAAGGAGCCAGCAGUGCUGGUGACUCUGCUGAGCAAGGGAGGAUGCGCAUCAGAAACUACAUCAGAUGGGCAAACAGCUGUGGCAAUCUGUCGGAGAAUGACAAGGAGAAAGGAUUAUAUUGAAGCUACAAAGCAAGGGCAGGAAACUAACAAAGACCGGUUAUGCAUUGAUGUCCUUGAGAGAGAGAUGAGAAGGAACUCCAUGUCUGGGAACUUGGCACUGUCAUCAGAGGUGAUGGCUGAUGAUUUCCAAAUGAAGCUGAACUAUCUGGAAAAUAGAGGUGAUAUUUCUUUACUGGUAUUAGUUCAUCACCUUCUCAGAGUUUGUGCUAUGCACACUUCUUUCUACUGUUUGUUUGUUCCUUCAUCUUAGCAUCUCAAACAUUGCUGUAAAUGGGAUAACUACACAGUCUACACUUGUGCUAGCAUCAUGACUUUUUGAUGAACUGUUAUUUUUGUUAUUUGGAAGUGAAUAUUUUCAGCAACUAGAACUCCGAAGCAUCUGGAAUGAUCCAUUUUAUCAUUCUCGGUACCUAUAGCAGAAUGUAAUGGAAAACAGUUUCCAGAACAAAUCGCAUUUGUUUUUGGAAGCCAGUAAUUGCUUGUGGCAAACUGUUAGCCAGCCAUAAUUCCAUCCACUAUCUUGGAUAGGCAAUUGUGUAUCCGUAUGUUCUGGGCAUGGGGGUUUCGACUGAACUAGUUUUAAUAAAUAAUUGCACAAUGAUUUAGUCUCAGUGUUACAGCCCAGUCUUUGUUGUCAAUACUCCCCCCCCCCCCCCCCCCCCCCCAAAAAAAAAAAAAAAAUUGAGUUACGAAUAAAUUUUUCCUAUUAUGUAGGAGGGCCAUAAAAGUUUUUAAAUUUUAUCCAGUUUUUUUUGAGCGGUGGCUGUUUCCUUCUGAAGCUAUAAUAGCUAUGGACAUAGCAGAUGCAGAUGCCACCAAUUUUUGUACUGGCCUUUCAGCAUCAAAAUCAAAAGGAUCAAGUGGGAACUUAAAGGAGGUUGAUUUGAAUGAAACACCCUCUAUGCAAGCCAAGAGACUGUAGGCUCUGCUUAAAACAGGUAUUUAUAUACCUUAUUAGUUUUUGUAUCCAAAGAGAGAGGUUAAUUUUUAUUACAUUGAUAUCUCAACAAAAUGGUCUUUUCUUAGAGCAUUUACUGAACUUUCUAUGAUUGCAGUCGAGACGGGUCGACGCUACUUCCCUCACUCCUCCAAAGUCAUUGAGGAGUUUAUGAAUUGUGAUUGGUCUGAUGCUUCUCUUCUGGAAUUUGGUACUCCGGAAGCGCAGAAACUUAAAAGGGCUUGCUUCCACGUGCGGAAGGCAUUUUGCCAGGACAUGGCUUCUGACAAUCGUUCAGGGCCGUCAUCAUCGUCAUCGGCAUUCUUCGUUCCUUAAAAAAAUCAAGAAAAAUUUAGAAAGUAGUGAGAGAUGGAGAAAUAGAGUGAUUAUAUUCACAAAUAUAAUGUGUUUAGUGCAACAAUACAAACUAAUAAAUAAUAAUUUAUGAGAUUAGUUUAUAGAAUCUUACAUAUAAAAUUAUAUCCUCUGAAUAAAAAUCUUCACAGCUCUUUUGACUUCUCAUUUAGAUGCCCUUUCUAAGAUCACUCCAUUUUCUAGGAUCACUCCAUUUUAAUAGGAAGAAUUAGCGUAUCUCCACUUUUCUCCCCCGCCGUUUGUAUACCGUUUGUUACUGUUAAUGGACGAAGCUACAAGUCUUCUCUUUCAUCAAAUCGAUCCAUCACAAAUACAAGUCUGCUGCACCCCACCAAAAACACACAUACUCCAUCUCUAAAUACUUUGAAGAUAAACAAAUCAACCGUAAUCCUGCAACUUUAUCUCAGAGAAUCGGAUAAGAAAAGAACAGGCAAUGAAUCAACGGUAUUGGCGCCGAGUGAGUGUCGCCUGCGGUCGGCGUUAGAGGCGACUGUCACUCAAUCGCGUACAAGGUUAGUCUUUGAAAAAACUCUUUGCAUGUUAGAAAUCAGUGAUUAGGCAUUAUUUUGAUAUUUAAAAAUGAAAAUGGGUUUAUUAGUUUGUCGAAGAAUCUGCUUUGUUGCCGGUGUUGUUUGUCGAUUAAAAUGAAAAUGGGUUUGUUGAUGUGUUGAAGAAGUUGCUCUACUGCUGGUGGUUUUUUUAUUAAUUAAAAUGAAAAUGGGUUUGUUAAUUUAUUUAAGCAGCUGCUGGCAUUGAUGAACUUAUGAGCUAAUAGUAUUGUUUGAUCAAGCUUGUGUUCUUAAUAGUGGAGUUGAUAUUCUUAAAAUGAAUUUAUGAUUAUGAGAAUAUGAAAAUUGAACGGCAUCGUAGAGAUCUGGAUUAAUCACCAUCGCGUAUGUUUCUAAAUAAAGGAAUGAGCAGCAAUCGAUUUGAAAGUUAAGACUUUAGGAAUAUGUAUGUGCAACUGAAUGAAUUAUCAGUUGCUAUCUUGUAAGUCAAUACUAGCAUAUUCCUUAAUGGCAAGUGAAGCUAUUUUAUGUGUAUUGCUGCCUAUCAAAAUGUUUAUGUUUGAAGCUAUCUCCUUUUAGGAAAUUGAAUGCUUCUGUGAGUUCUCUGAUAAGGGCUAUACAACCAGCUCUAACAGAUUCCUUCAUGUGCAUUAAUUAGCUUAAUGAUUUAUUGACCUAUAUCCAAUGUCUAUUCUCCUUUUCUGUAGCUGUCUAGCUUUAUGAGGGUGUGAAGUGAACUUUUGUUUUAUGUUUCAGGACUUGGGAUUAGAGUGUAUAACAUUCAAUAUCUUUUUAUCAAAGAACUGAUAUAUGUUAAUGUAGUGCGAUCUGGUCUUUAUUAGCUUCUUGAUUUGCCAGGAUGUUUGACAACCAUCUUUGACUACGAUUGCCAACAUAUAAGCUGCUACAUAUUGUGUCUCAGGAAUCACAACAAAUUAUUAUCAUAAUAUGGUGAUUUUGAAUCCAAAACUUGGUAGUGUCAAGAAAAUAGACCCCAUGUUUAUUUAUCUUCAUGUUUUGUAUGCGGCUGCAAUAGACUAUUAUAAGUUACUUUUAGUUUUAUCAAGUUUUUUUUCCCCUUAAAUUUCAGUUAUUUCAGCGGCUUCUUUUAAGUGAGUUAAUAGUGUUGUUAGGUUAAACUAAGUUUGGCUUCAUAAGAUUCAUAGUAGAGUGUAAAACUGGGUACAAUUUUGGGUUAAGACAAGUCAAAAGUCUUCUCAAGUAAUUGUUCUGCUUACUGAUUUGGUAAUUGCAACAUUGCUAAAUAGUUCAAUUUGUCCUUUUUUUUUGUUGAAUUUAUUGUAUGUCAUAUUACUUCAUUUAAUUAUUUUCUCAGAUCUUGUAGGUGAAAAUUUCAGCUUCAAAGGCCAAGCUAAUCAUCCAGCAAUUCAGUGAAACCAAGACACAGUGGCUCAUAAAUUGUUGUUGGCGAUCCAGCCAUUCGGGUGCUUGCCAGUCCUAGACGAGAGAACUUUCAACGCGGCGCAUAAAUUGUUGUUGAUCUGUUUUAUAUAUUUUGACCUUUGUGAUUUGUGAAUACAUGGUUUGAUUCCAGUGUUUACAACUUUGAUACUGUGUAUAACUUGAGAAGCAAAUGAAACAAAUAGGAAAUGUGUUUUUAUUUUUUUUAUUCUAUCUAUCUAUUUAUUUUUUGUUUGGAAAUGUAACAAUUUAUAGCUGGCAAAGUAAUAGAGUUGUAUACUUGUAUUUAAUUUAUUAUUAUUAAUUUUAAUGAAUCGGUAAUGUCAUUGUCCAUGGUGUUUUGUCAUUUCGAAAGUACUUAACCCUUCCACGCCAAGGCACAUCACAGCAGCCGAAAAUUUGAGCUUUCAGUUCUUGAUUUUAGCGUGAGGGGUAUCUUUGUCUUUUCAGUAGUCAACAUACGGUCAACAAAACAGUCUACAAACAAUCGGGGGUAAAAUCGGAUAUACGGUGAUACUUUCUAUCAUAGUGGCGAUACGCCAAACCUCAGGGGAGGAAACUGUAAAUUACCCCUUCGCGACCUGUGAACUUGGGUCAAAGCUUUCAUCUUUAAAGCUAAUAGGUAGAUCGCGAUUCAAGCUUCAGUUAUAACUUAUAAGCAUUUCAUUGUGAUUGAUAGUAUUCUCUCUUGAUAUAUAUAUAUAUAUAUUCACUUAAGCCGCUUACCAAUCCUUCUAAAAGCUUAAGCUGUUAGGCGAAGCACUACUUUAUACUUAAAAACACCCGAACCACGAGUAACGUCUACACAUUUAGUGCCACAUCACCCACGUGCGUGGGAUAGAGCCACCACAAGGGUGCGGGCCCCUAACACACGUAGUCUGGAUAUACCUUAAGCCCUGGUUUUAUAUAUAUAUAUAUAUAUAUAUAUAUAUAUAGAUUCAGUUUGAAUAUGGUUCUUGAUGGUAUCAUGGAAAAUGCGAACGAAAAGUCAGCAUCUUUGAGUUUUGUCUCAUCAUAUCUGACUUGUUGGUCCACUAAUCAAUCAACAGGCACUUGUGAUCUUGAUAAUUUGAACUUAAGGAUGCAAAGCACCAAUCCCGAAGAGACAUGGCUUGAAGCUGAGAUUGUUGUUGAGGGCAAAUCAGUGGCGGUUAAUCGCAGCGUAUUGUCUGAGCUCAGUCAAUUUUUUCGUCGGCUUUUUAAUUUGAGAAAUGAUGGUUCUGUCAGUGAGGGGAAACCCAAGUAUCUUUUGACUGAUUUGGUGCCUCAUGGGAAGGUUGGGUAUGAAGCUUUCAAUGAUAUCCUGCAUCGUCUUUACACUGGGAAGCUUAAGGCACCUCCUCCAGAAGUGUCCGCGUGUGUUGAUGAUGCUUGUUCUCAUGAUGCUUGCCCUCCUGCUAUUAAUUAUGCUAUUGAGUUGAUGUAUGCUUCCGCUGCUUUUCAGAUGAAAGAACUCGUUUUUCUUUUGCAGGUAAUUGUGCUUCCCUGCUAUUUGUAUUGCUUAAAUUUAUGCUUCUUGGUAUAGUUUUAACAUAUAUGGGAUUGAAAUCAAUUUCAGUUGUGAAGCAACUUCGGUGGUUCCCAAUAUUAGGCAUUGUAGUAGAUCCAAAAUUAGCUUGUUAAGAAGUGUAGAUACCGUAGAGCCCAAAACUUAGUCUUAUCUUGCAAGAGUCUGUUGUUUUAUUUUGAAAGAGACAAAAGUGAUGAUGAUGGGCAGCGAACUAAAGGAAUCAAUGCUUGCUGACACUGACUCCCAAGAAUGAUAAAAACUAACCAAAAAGGUAUAUAGAUUACAUGAGUCUGAAUUUGAUAAGUGCACCUAUCCUAUCACAAAAGCUUUUGCGUUGAGUUUCUAACCAAUGAAAAUUGUCACUUCUGUCUGUAGGCUUCAUAGAUUUGUUCAAGCCUUCAAGGAUGUCUGGCUGUUACUUACCGUCCAACAAUGGUGCUACAUUUCUAGUGAAUGAUAUGUUAUUCUACAUCUGUAAAUUGCAACUUUGACAAACUUCGCCUUUCCUUUGUUGAUUCACUCGUCUCACUUUUAUUAAAUUGCCCGAUUAUGAAAUGGUCUAUUGGAGACUAGCAUUGGAAGGUUUCUUCUGGAAAAAAUUUUACUUGACCACCAAUUUUCAUUUGGGUGGGUGUCAGUUCAUGCUCUGGCUUGACUGUUCUGUUAUUUAGGUUGUUUUAUCCGUAUUUUCUUCACUCACUUGAUGGUUAGUUCUCUCAUGCUUUCAAGCUCUCAACAGUGAAUGCGAGAGAUUCUCUUUUUUCCCGUCCAGGCUAUAACCUAGCAAAUUGUUAAUGCUGUAGAAUAACAUCUUGUGCAGGCGAGCUUAUGUCUCUGAACAUUGGUCCAUCGGCAUUAAGGUUUAAUAAGCAUGACACUGAACUUCCCCCUCAUUAUUAUUUUCCUGCACAGAUUAUCCUCUUUAAGUAUUUGAAUUUUGAAUAUCUUAUUCUGAAUCAAAACCCUAUCUGUGCUUGUAGCAUUUUAUAUAUGCUUUAUGAUGUUUACCAAUAAUUACCCACUAUGGGGUAUUUGAAUUUUGAAUAUAUUAUUCUGAAUCAAAACUCUAUCUGUCCGUGUAUCUUUGGCUUCGGAGCAUGGUUGAGAAGGCUCUCGUGGAAGAUGUAAUCCCAAUUCUCGUGGCUGCCUUGCAUUGCCAACUGAACCAACUCCGUUCUGUCUGCAUCCAGAGAAUUGCAAAGUCAAAUCUUGACAAUGUUUGUCUCGAGAAAGAGCUUCCUGAUGAAGUUUCAAGUGAAAUCAAAUCACUCCGUGUCAAAUCUAACCAGGAGUCUGAAGCUAACACAAAAGAAGUGGAUCCUUUGCGUGAAAAAACAGUCAGAAGAAUCCACAAGGCUCUGGACACUGAUGAUUUUGAACUGUUGACGCUUCUUCUGGAUGUAUCUAAUGUCACUCUGGAUGAUGCUUACGCUCUGCACUAUGCUGCUGCCUACUGCAACCCUAAGGUUUUUAAGGAAGUGCUCAAUAUGGACUUGGCUGGUCUCAAUCUUAAGGAUGCAAGAGGACGUACGGUGCUUCAUGUGGCUGCAAGGCGUAAUGAGCCAGAAGUGAUGGUGACUCUGCUGAGCAAGGGAGCAUGCGCAUCAGAAACUACAUCAGAUUGGCAAACAGCUGUAGCAAUCUGUCGGAGAGUGACAAGGCGAAAGGAUUGUAUUGAAGCUACAAAGCAGGGGCAGGAAACUAACAAAGACCAGUUAUGCAUUGACGUCCUUGAGAGAGAGAUGAGAAGGCACUCCAUGUCUGAGAACUUGGCAAUGUCAUCAGAGGUGAUGGAUGAUGAUUUCCAAAGGAAGCUGAACUACCUGGAAAAAAAAGGUGAUAUUUCUUUACUGGUAUUAGUUCAUCACCUUCUCAGAGUUUGUGCAUAGCACACUUCUUUCUACUGUUUGUUUGUCCCUUCAUAUGGAAAAUAGAGGUGAUAUUCCUUUACUGGUAUUAGUAAAUCAUCUUCUCAAGAGUUUGUGAGUCCCUUCAUUUUAACAUCUCAAACACACAUGCGCUCAUUGCUUGGGGCACACUGUUGGCCAGUCAUGUGAUUUGAUCCCCUUUUUUGGAAUGGAGAAUUCUGAAUCCAUCUGAUCUAGGCUUCGUGGUUUGCACUGAACUGGUUUUUGAUGAAUAAUUGCACAAGACUUUGUCAUCAAAACUUUCUUGUUUUUUGCCCCAAAAGUAAUGAGGUACAAAAAAAUUUAUGCCUAUCCUGGAUGAGUGCCAUAACAGCUUCUUAAUAUUUUGCAGUGGCAUUUGUACGGUUGUUUCCUUCAGAAGCUAGAGUAGCUAUGGAAAUAGCAGGUGCAGAUACCGCGACUGGCCUUUCAGCAUUAGGUCAGAAAGGACGCCAAUUGAGACUGCUAACUUUGCUUAAAACAGGUAUUUAUAUACUUUAUUAACUUUUGCACCUUUCUAUUUACUGAUUAUCUUUAUAAUUAACUAAUACAUGUAUCCAGGUUUCUCCUUCCAAUUGGAAUUUCUUUAUAGUGCUCUGUUAGGUGUAAUCAGAUGUAUCAAAAGAGAACGGGUAAUUGUUAGUACAUUGAUGUCUCAACAAAAUGGUAGAACCUUUCUUUAUACCACUAAGACAUUUGUUGCAGGUAUGCCUACAUAAUCAGUGUCCUUCAAAACUUUCAAAGAGUUAGCAAUGUCUAACCCCUGAAACACUAAAUCUCACGGGAUCAACUCUUUACCUCUAGACCGAAGGUGUGACACCCAGACCCAAUUAGGGCUUAGAACACGUAUCGAAUCUGAGUGAAACUAAACGCCUGUAAAUCCAAAUCUCCAAAAUAUCAAAAAGUCAUCUACUUUCUCUUUUCAUGUAUUUCACAAAAUUUUGAAAAAUUCAUUCUCAAUCAAAAACUAUGCACAGCUAAUUAUUCAGCAUAUCAGCAUAGAGCAAUACUUCCUCAUAAGCAAAUAAAUCUUACAAUCCUUCUUACAUGAUUUGAAAAAAAUACUAAUAGAAGUCUUCUAGAUACAAACAUAAACAGGAUUCAACUGUUUAAAACUAUGCCAAAACACAAGCUUCAAUCAGUAAUACAUACAACUAAUUAUUAAAGACAUCUAGCCAGAAACCUUACGAAAGCUCAAUCCUUCCGAAGCAUUCUUCAAAUUAAUAAUUGCUACCAUCUGUGAAAAAUAAUUGAUAAGGAGUCAGCUGUGAACUCAAUCAGUAGAAACAUUCGUAACGAACAAAAAGAAUUCUUUGUGCAAUAUUUUCAGAAAAUUCAUUUAACCUUUCAAAUAAAACAGAGUAAUUUUUCUAAGGCAGUCAGGAUUUAUAUAAAACAUAAACGUUUCAGACAGAAGCUUUUUGGAAUGUAAAUUUUGCUUCUUUAAACAGUAAGUUAUACAUUAGUUUGAUUUUAAAGGGAGGUUAUUGGGAAGUUAAAAUUGGCAGUUGUGGGAAAAGGGUAAUAGCAGUUAUAAAAUCUCUUUUAAAGCAAAUUCAAAUCAGGUUUCAAAUUUUAGGAGUACUUAAUUCAAUAAAAUAAGGAAUAAAUAAAGCUUUCAUUGAAACAAAACUAAGUAAAUUCAUUUAAAGCAAAAAAAGGAUGCGAGCAUUACGAUGGGUUCUUAUGUUUACCCGCAGUCAGACAUCUGGGACCUUGUUAUUUGGAGACAAGACUUGAUUGUGCCAUGUUUUCUGCAGCUAGACAUCUGUGGAUAAGAGAACCCUAAGCCUAUUGAGAAUAAAUUCCGUAAUCCAAGACUCUUCAGUUCUUUCAUUUGUGGCUAAUUAUUUAUAAAAUUUGCGAAUUUCAUGCCCCAUGCCCCUUGCAAAAUGUAUUUUAUAUCCUUAAGUUGCCAGUUGUUGAACUGAAAUAAUAAAAAGUGGAAAACAGACUUAAUGCCGAUAGCAUUUCUUAAGAAAAACUUGGGAUGUUUAUAAUUUUCUUAGAGCAUUUGCUGAACUUUAUGUGAUUGCAGUCGAGACGGGUGACCGCUACUUCCCUCAUUGCUCACAAGUGGUUGAUGACUUUUUGGGUGUUUAUGACUUUUUGGGUGUUAAUGACUUUUUGGAUGCGUCCCUCCUAGAAAAGAGUACUCUUGAAGAGCAGAAACUUAAAAUAGACAUGCAGAAGGCACUCUGCAUGGACGUGGCUUAUCACCGUCGUUUAGGGCUGCCAUCAUCCUGGCCGGCAUUUUACCAGUACAUGGCUGGGAGCAAUCAGUCGGCAUUUUACAAGUACGUGGCUGAGAGCAAUCGUUCAGGAAUGUCGACAUCCUCGGCAGCGAGCAAUUAAGCAUAACCUUUCCCUAAAAGCUAUAUUUGACUCCUGGAAAACUAAAGGAGUUGAGUGAGCUCGAUUGGUAUUUGUAGUUUCUUUU
rnacentral:lncRNA from 1 species